rnacentral:rRNA from 1 species
UACGUAGGGUGCAAGCGUUAAUCGGAAUUACUGGGCGUAAAGCGUGCGCAGGCGGUUUACUAAGACAGGUGUGAAAUCCCCGGGCUUAACCUGGGAACUGCAUCUGUGACUAGUAGACUAGAGUUUGGCAGAGGGGGGUGGAAUUCCUGGUGUAGCAGUGAAAUGCGUAGAUAUCAGGAGGAACACCGAUGGCGAAGGCAGCCCCCUGGGCCACCACUGACGCUCAUGCACGAAAGCGUGGGGAGCAAACAGG